AUGAACGCUGGCGGCGUGCCUCAUCCAUGCCAGUCGCGCGAACAGAUAAGGAGCUUGCUCCUUUGACGUUAGCGGCGGACGGGUGAGUAACACGUGGGCAACCUACCUAUAAGACUGGAAUAACUCCGGGAAACCGGGGCUAAUGCCGGAUAACAUUUAGAACCGCAUGGUUCUAAAGUGAAAGAUGGUUUUACUAUCACUUAUAGAUGGACCCGCGCCGUAUUAGCUAGUUGGUAAGGUAACGGCUUACCAAGGCAACGAUACGUAGCCGACCUGAGAGGGUGAUCGGCCACACUGGAACUGAGACACGGUCCAGACUCCUACGGGAGGCAGCAGUAGGGAAUCUUCCGCAAUGGGCGAAAGCCUGACGGAGCAACGCCGCGUGAGUGAUGAAGGUCUUCGGAUCGUAAAACUCUGUUAUUAGGGAAGAACAAAUGUGUAAGUAACUGUGCACGUCUUGACGGUACCUAAUCAGAAAGCCACGGCUAACUACGUG
rnacentral:rRNA from 1 species